rnacentral:misc_RNA from 1 species
UUUCCGUAGGUGAACCUGCGGAAGGAUCAUUACCGAGUGAGGGUCUCUCAGGCCCGACCUCCCACCCUGUGUUUUUGUGACCUUGUUGCUUUUGCGGGCCCGCCUCGAUUAUAGGCCGCCGGAAGCUUACCGUUUUGGGCCCGUGCCCGUCAGUAGCCCCCUUAAAUUAUUAAUAAACCUAUCGUCUUAGUUAAUGGAUAUAAUGAAAAAAAACUUUCAACAACGGAUCUCUUGGUUCUGGCAUAGAUGAAGAAC